AGAUAGCAGACCACCGUUAGGGGCCAGGAGGGGAAGAGAGGUGAUUGCCGGAGCUCUAACGGUGUCCAUGAGAACAUCAAGGAAAAGACCGCAGUCAAGACUGUGCGCAGGAAGCAGGGCACGGAUUUCACGGCUGGUAGAAUGUGCCAGGCAGGGUGGAGGGCGAAGACAAGAAGACCUCAGAGCUGCAGAACCGGAGGACUACGUUCAUACGAUUACUGAGCGCAAGCUGUGUUCCCAGGUUCCUGGUCCCCUCCCUUAGGAAGCUCACCAUCUGGUGAGAGGAAGAUAACACUGCACUGUAACUAGCGUGCAGAGGGCACUUGUGCAGUCCAGAUGAGCGGGCCUAACGAGGACUUCACAGGACGGGUACCCAGCUCUGCUUGGAAGAGAGGGGCAGACAGGAGUGUAUUCCAAGUAGAAGUUGCAUUUUGGCACUCUGGGGGAAAGCACGCAAUUCAACAAAAAGAUAUAAAAAGAGAAGACGCUGAGAAAGAACUCUCCAGGAGAAGGAGUCAAAGAUCUUGUAGUGCUGAGGAGAUCAAAAGGAGAGAAGCUCUCGAGAAGGAAGUGCCGUGUCUAAUCCCACAGAAAGUGUGGGGACGCAGCAAGAAGAUUGCCGUCUGCAAACUGAAACGAUGGGGCCAUCCUCUGCAUCUCUAUUUAAGACGUAGAUUAACAUGUGAAGAGGAACAGGAUCCAGCCAGAGCCCCACAACAUGGCACCAGAAACACCCAUCAAGACACCAAAUGAAAGAUCUUGUCAUAUGGGUUUUUCAGAGUUUGGUUACACUAUAUCUUCCACAUUUCCCUGAAAUAACAGUCUGGUAAUAACCCCAUCAAAAAAAGAAAUAGAAGCAUCUAUGGUAUAAUUAGAAGAUGUGAUUCUGUCAUCUCCUAGUCUGAAGCUUUGGGCAAAGUCCAAUCCAGUUCCAUGGUUCCGUGACUAUUCAUGGAUCACCUAACAUGUAUCUAAGUGCCAACUGGAC
rnacentral:lncRNA from 1 species